rnacentral:misc_RNA from 1 species
CCGAGUUUACAACUCCCAAACCCGUGCGAACCUUACCGAUCAACGUUGCCUCGGCGGGCGCGAGCCCGCCGCGGGACCCCAAAACUCGUUUCACCGCCGUCGGCGUUCUUCUGAGUGGAUAUUCCGCCCCGCGAGAGCGGGCGCGCAAUGAAUCA